rnacentral:lncRNA from 1 species
CGCCCGUCUCAGGCACCUCCUGGAACUUGCUCUUGGAGCGUCCAAAGUCCAUGGGCCCGCCGAGCCCGCCAGGGCCCGCGCCCGGCCCGCCCUGCGCGCGGCGGAAGAGGAAGAAGAGCCCCGCGAACGCGAGGAAGGGGAAGAGGAGGUUGCCGACGAAGGCGAUGAAUCCCCCGGGUCCCGCAGCCUCGCCCUCGGAGACGGAGAUGUCGACGCCGUUGGUGGCGAGGAUGUCGAUGAGGUCAGGGUCGUUGGGGACGACGACGGUGGCGCGGCGGCCGUCGACGGCGGUGAGCUGGAGGAGCCCGCCGUCCUUGGAGAAGCGGACGCGCUCGACCUUGCCGCGCUUGACGGCGGAGAGGAACUCGCUGUAGCGCCACUGCGCGCCCUCGGGGAGGUCGGCGGCGGCGGAGGGCUUGGGGGCCGUGAGGAGGGAGUUGGCGAAGGGGUUGGCGGUGGGAGUGGUGGCCUCGGCCUGGAGCUCGGGUGCGGGCGCGGGGGCCGGGGCCGGGGGAGGCGCCGGCGCGUCAGCGGCGAGAGCGGGCGCCGCGGCGAGCGCGAGGAGCGUCGCCGGGAGGGGCC